ACACAUACAUUCAGACACACAUGCAGACACACACAUACAGAGAAACAUACAUACAGACACACAUACACAAACACACACACAUAUAGAGACACAUACAUACAGACACACAUACACUAACACACACACACACACACACAUGCAAAAUGUUUACGUCACCCUCCUGUUUCCUACCUUUUAGGUGCAAGAGGGUGACUUUUCCUGGGGUCCAGUGGUGGCUCAGGCUGAUGGGAGUCAGAGUUCCUACUCUGACUCCCUCUCCUUCCUCCCGC